rnacentral:rRNA from 1 species
GAUAAACGCUGGCGGCGUGCCUAACACAUGCAAGUCGAACGGGCGAAGCCUUUAAGUUUACUUUAGGCCUAGCUAGUGGCGGACGGGUGAGUAAUGCGUGAGCAACCUGCCUUUCAGAGGGGGACAACAGUUGGAAACGACUGCUAAUACCGCAUGAUGUAUUUUGGGGGCAUCCUCGAGAUACCAAAGAUUUUAUCGCUGAAAGAUGGGCUCACGUCUGAUUAGUUAGUUGGUGGGGUAACGGCCUACCAAGACUGCGAUCAGUAGCCGGACUGAGAGGUUGAACGGCCACAUUGGGACUGAGAUACGGCCCAG